GGGUUGUGAGGUUAAGCGACUAAGCGUACACGGUGGAUGCCCUGGCAGUCAGAGGCGAUGAAGGACGUGCUAAUCUGCGAUAAGCGUCGGUAAGGUGAUAUGAACCGUUAUAACCGGCGAUUUCCGAAUGGGGAAACCCAGUGUGUUUCGACACACUAUCAUUAACUGAAUCCAUAGGUUAAUGAGGCGAACCGGGGGAACUGAAACAUCUAAGUACCCCGAGGAAAAGAAAUCAACCGAGAUUCCCCCAGUAGCGGCGAGCGAACGGGGAGCAGCCCAGAGCCUGAAUCAGUGUGUGUGUUAGUGGAAGCGUCUGGAAAGGCGCGCGAUACAGGGUGACAGCCCCGUACACAAAAAUGCACAUACUGUGAGCUCGAUGAGUAGGGCGGGACACGUGGUAUCCUGUCUGAAUAUGGGGGGACCAUCCUCCAAGGCUAAAUACUCCUGACUGACCGAUAGUGAACCAGUACCGUGAGGGAAAGGCGAAAAGAACCCCGGCGAGGGGAGUGAAAAAGAACCUGAAACCGUGUACGUACAAGCAGUGGGAGCACGCUUCGGCGUGUGACUGCGUACCUUUUGUAUAAUGGGUCAGCGACUUAUAUUCUGUAGCAAGGUUAACCGAAUAGGGGAGCCGAAGGGAAACCGAGUCUUAACUGGGCGUUAAGUUGCAGGGUAUAGACCCGAAACCCGGUGAUCUAGCCAUGGGCAGGUUGAAGGUUGGGUAACACUAACUGGAGGACCGAACCGACUAAUGUUGAAAAAUUAGCGGAUGACUUGUGGCUGGGGGUGAAAGGCCAAUCAAACCGGGAGAUAGCUGGUUCUCCCCGAAAGCUAUUUAGGUAGCGCCUCGUGAAUUCAUCUCCGGGGGUAGAGCACUGUUUCGGCAAGGGGGUCAUCCCGACUUACCAACCCGAUGCAAACUGCGAAUACCGGAGAAUGUUAUCACGGGAGACACACGGCGGGUGCUAACGUCCGUCGUGAAGAGGGAAACAACCCAGACCGCCAGCUAAGGUCCCAAAGUCAUGGUUAAGUGGGAAACGAUGUGGGAAGGCCCAGACAGCCAGGAUGUUGGCUUAGAAGCAGCCAUCAUUUAAAGAAAGCGUAAUAGCUCACUGGUCGAGUCGGCCUGCGCGGAAGAUGUAACGGGGCUAAACCAUGCACCGAAGCUGCGGCAGCGACACUAUGUGUUGUUGGGUAGGGGAGCGUUCUGUAAGCCUGUGAAGGUGUGCUGUGAGGCAUGCUGGAGGUAUCAGAAGUGCGAAUGCUGACAUAAGUAACGAUAAAGCGGGUGAAAAGCCCGCUCGCCGGAAGACCAAGGGUUCCUGUCCAACGUUAAUCGGGGCAGGGUGAGUCGACCCCUAAGGCGAGGCCGAAAGGCGUAGUCGAUGGGAAACAGGUUAAUAUUCCUGUACUUGGUGUUACUGCGAAGGGGGGACGGAGAAGGCUAUGUUGGCCGGGCGACGGUUGUCCCGGUUUAAGCGUGUAGGCUGGUUUUCCAGGCAAAUCCGGAAAAUCAAGGCUGAGGCGUGAUGACGAGGCACUACGGUGCUGAAGCAACAAAUGCCCUGCUUCCAGGAAAAGCCUCUAAGCAUCAGGUAACAUUAAAUCGUACCCCAAACCGACACAGGUGGUCAGGUAGAGAAUACCAAGGCGCUUGAGAGAACUCGGGUGAAGGAACUAGGCAAAAUGGUGCCGUAACUUCGGGAGAAGGCACGCUGAUAUGUAGGUGAAGUCCCUCGCGGAUGGAGCUGAAAUCAGUCGAAGAUACCAGCUGGCUGCAACUGUUUAUUAAAAACACAGCACUGUGCAAACACGAAAGUGGACGUAUACGGUGUGACGCCUGCCCGGUGCCGGAAGGUUAAUUGAUGGGGUUAGCGGUAACGCGAAGCUCUUGAUCGAAGCCCCGGUAAACGGCGGCCGUAACUAUAACGGUCCUAAGGUAGCGAAAUUCCUUGUCGGGUAAGUUCCGACCUGCACGAAUGGCGUAAUGAUGGCCAGGCUGUCUCCACCCGAGACUCAGUGAAAUUGAACUCGCUGUGAAGAUGCAGUGUACCCGCGGCAAGACGGAAAGACCCCGUGAACCUUUACUAUAGCUUGACACUGAACAUUGAGCCUUGAUGUGUAGGAUAGGUGGGAGGCUUUGAAGUGUGGACGCCAGUCUGCAUGGAGCCGACCUUGAAAUACCACCCUUUAAUGUUUGAUGUUCUAACGUUGACCCGUGAUCCGGGUUGCGGACAGUGUCUGGUGGGUAGUUUGACUGGGGCGGUCUCCUCCUAAAGAGUAACGGAGGAGCACGAAGGUUGGCUAAUCCUGGUCGGACAUCAGGAGGUUAGUGCAAUGGCAUAAGCCAGCUUGACUGCGAGCGUGACGGCGCGAGCAGGUGCGAAAGCAGGUCAUAGUGAUCCGGUGGUUCUGAAUGGAAGGGCCAUCGCUCAACGGAUAAAAGGUACUCCGGGGAUAACAGGCUGAUACCGCCCAAGAGUUCAUAUCGACGGCGGUGUUUGGCACCUCGAUGUCGGCUCAUCACAUCCUGGGGCUGAAGUAGGUCCCAAGGGUAUGGCUGUUCGCCAUUUAAAGUGGUACGCGAGCUGGGUUUAGAACGUCGUGAGACAGUUCGGUCCCUAUCUGCCGUGGGCGCUGGAGAACUGAGGGGGGCUGCUCCUAGUACGAGAGGACCGGAGUGGACGCAUCACUGGUGUUCGGGUUGUCAUGCCAAUGGCACUGCCCGGUAGCUAAAUGCGGAAGAGAUAAGUGCUGAAAGCAUCUAAGCACGAAACUUGCCCCGAGAUGAGUUCUCCCUGACUCCUUGAGAGUCCUGAAGGAACGUUGAAGACGACGACGUUGAUAGGCCGGGUGUGUAAGCGCAGCGAUGCGUUGAGCUAACCGGUA
rnacentral:rRNA from 1 species